rnacentral:tRNA from 1 species
UGGGUUUUAGUAGAUCCUUUAGA